rnacentral:rRNA from 1 species
GACGAACGCUGGCGGCGUGCUUAACACAUGCAAGUCGAACGGAAAGGCCCUGCUUUUGUGGGGUGCUCGAGUGGCGAACGGGUGAGUAACACGUGAGUAACCUGCCCUUGACUUUGGGAUAACUUCAGGAAACUGGGGCUAAUACCGGAUAGGAGCUCCUGCUGCUUGGUGGGGGUUGGAAAGUUUCGGCGGUUGGGGAUGGACUCGCGGCUUAUCAGCUUGUUGGUGGGGUAGUGGCUUACCAAGGCUUUGUCGGGUAGCCGGCCUGAGAGGGUGACCGGCCACAUUGGGACUGAGAUACGGCCCAGACUCCUACGGGAGGCAGCAGUGGGGAAUAUUGCACAAUGGGCGGAAGCCUGAUGCAGCAACGCCGCGUGCGGGAUGACGGCCUUCGGGUUGUAAACCGCUUUCGCCUGUGACGAAGCGUGAGUGACGGUAAUGGGUAAAGAAGCACCGGCUAACUACGUG